UAACUAAGCGGAGGAAAAGAAACUAACCAGGAUUCCGUCAGUAAGGGCGACUGAAGCCGGAAUAGCUCACCAUGUGAAUCUGCGCGCCAUGCGCCGAAUUGUGGUCUGGAGACGCGACACGUUACUGGCCGGGCCAAGUCCCUUGGAACAGGGCAGCUGAGAGGGUGAGACUCCCGUCCGCCUGGCCUCUGGAGUGUGGCAUCGACGAGUCGAGUUGUUUGGGAUUGCAGCUCUAAGUGGGUGGUAAAUUCCAUCUAAAGCUAAAUAUUGGUGGGAGACCGAUAGCGAACAAGUACCGUGAGGGAAAGAUGCAAAGAACUUUGAAAAGAGAGUUAAAGAGUACCUGAAAUCGCUGAAACGGAAGCGAAGGAAACCAGUGGUAGCUGCGUCAUACUUCCCAGUCCGCGUGCGGGUUGGGCGCUGUGGCCAGCGUGGUCAGGCUUGGUGUGGACGGUCGGACCCGCGUCGAGGGAGUUGCCCUCGGCAUGUCUGCGACUGUCUGGACCGAGGCUGGCGAAAUGGUUUUCUUUACCCC
rnacentral:rRNA from 1 species